rnacentral:rRNA from 1 species
GACGAAGGAUGCAAGCGUUAUCCGGAUUCAUUGGGUUUAAAGGGAGCGUAGGUGGACUUGUAAGUCAGGCGUGAAAGCCCCGGGCUCAACCUGGGAACCGCGCUUGAGACUGGCAUGCUCGAGUUCGGGAGAGGAUGGUGGAAUUCCCAGUGUAGAGGUGAAAUUCGUAGAUAUUGGGAAGAACACCGAUGGCGAAGGCAGCCAUCUGGACCGACACUGACGCUGAGGCGCGAAAGCGUGGGGAGCAAACAGG